rnacentral:misc_RNA from 1 species
GAUUUUGUAGGGAAUUGGGGGAGAAAUAGAUUCGAUGAGGAAGUGGAGCAUGGUUGAAGAAUUGGAGAAGGUAGAAAUUUCGGAGGAAGGUAAUCAUGGAGAGAGGGAUUCAUUGAAAAUUGUGGCAGUGCUUCGAAGAUUUGUGGGUGUGCAGCAACGCAGAGCCGAAGCUUAUGCGAGGCUGAAGCGAGGAUUUGAAGAUUAUAUGGCUUCAGGAGUAGAAUCAACUUACCAACAGCUAUGCAGUGAGAUCACUGAUGAAUUUAAUGAUUGCUCAAAGCAGGUCCUUGAGAUGGAGUCUCAGUUUCUAACUGCCCAUUGCUUCCGAGAAGAUCUGUCUCUACUUUUGAGAUCUGUUCAAAAUCAAGAAAAGAUGAAGCUGCAACUGACCGC